rnacentral:rRNA from 1 species
UCGAUUGAGUUUGAUCAUGGCUCAGGAUGAACGCUGGCGGUAUGCUUAACACAUGCAAGUCGAACGGGUGUUUUCGGACAUUAGUGGCGGACGGGUGAGUAACGCGUGAGAAUCUAGCCUCAGGUUGGGGACAACAGUUGGAAACGACUGCUAAUACCGAAUAUGCCGAGAGGUGAAAGAUUUAUUGCCUGAAGAAGAGCUCGCGUCUGAUUAGCUAGUUGGUGGGGUAAGAGCUUACCAAGGCGACGAUCGGUAGCUGGUCUGAGAGGACGAUCAGCCACACUGGGACUGAGACACGGCCCAGACUCCUACGGGAGGCAGCAGUGGGGAAUUUUCCGCAAUGGGCGAAAGCCUGACGGAGCAAUACCGCGUGAGGGAAGAAGGCUCUUGGGUUGUAAACCUCUUUUCUUAGGGAAGAAAAAAAUGACGGUACCUAAGGAAUAAGCAUCGGCUAACUCCGUGCCAGCAGCCGCGGUAAUACGGGGGAUGCAAGCGUUAUCCGGAAUGAUUGGGCGUAAAGCGUCCGCAGGUGGUUUAUCAAGUUUGCGGUUAAAGGUUCUGGCUCAACCAGAGACAGGCCGUGAAAACUGAUAGACUAGAGUAUGGUAGGGGCAGAGGGAAUUCCCAGUGUAGCGGUGAAAUGCGUAGAGAUUGGGAAGAACGCCGGUGGCGAAAGCGCUCUGCUAGGCCUAAACUGACACUGAGGGACGAAAGCUAGGGGAGCGAAUGGGAUUAGAUA